GGUUUCUCUGGUUUAUUCAGUGAUAUCAUCAUUUGCAUAGGCACCUAAGCAACUCACUGUGCCCCUACAUGCCAGGUUGUCUUGGAAGUUCUUUCCCAUAAAGGGAUGAAGCUUAGUUGGCAAAGUGAAAGUUGAUAUAAAUCUAUCUGGUAUCACUUAGAGGCAUGUUUCAAGACGUCUAUGAUGACCUGUCUUUAAUUUAGGUUUCAUUUCAACUGCAGCACCUAGAAUGUGUGACAUCAAGUCAGCAAGUGUCUUGUAUUUUUCUUCCGGGGCAAACAUUUGAGUAUGAAGGAGGCCGCUGACACUAAGGACACGCAUCGGGCUGAAUGGGGAGGAGAACCAAGAUGGAGGGUAUGGAGAUACUUGACAAGGGUGGAACUGCCUGUCAUAAGUUCUUGGCUUCCAAAUCCAAGGAUUGGUAUCAUCACCAACAUGAACUGUUUCAGAAAGACCAUUCUGCCUCUUGAGAUGCCGGAUUAGAACAACAACAACAACAAAACCAGAAGCAGGCUCGAUGAGCGAUCCCUCCCCCGACGGCCACUUCAGAUGGAAUACAACUCAAGCUGCCGUAGAGAUAACGCCACGUGAUUACAAACACAUGUCAGGAAGGCUGUGCAGAGAGCUGGUUGACCUAACAAACGGAACUGGUCACAUUAACUCACUUCCUGUUGCUUGAGAAUUAUGUCUGACGUUGACUCCAGAGACCACUGGCAGAACAUACAGUUGGAUUAAAAUGAGGGUACGGACAUCAAAAAGAAGUAUUCUGGGACCCUGGGGAAGGGCUGGCAACCAAUUAUGGAAAGGAAUGGGUGGUUCCUGUAAUUCAAACCAUAUCCCAUGAGAAAGUAAUUUAUAGGCAGCAGCACAAAUAAAGAUAAAUUUGAGAGCA
rnacentral:lncRNA from 1 species